rnacentral:rRNA from 1 species
AUUGAACGCUAGCGGGAUGCCUUACACAUGCAAGUCGAACGGCAGCGCGGACUUCGGUCUGGCGGCGAGUGGCGAACGGGUGAGUAAUGUAACGGAACGUGCCCAGUAGCGGGGGAUAACUACUCGAAAGAGUAGCUAAUACCGCAUAAGCCCUACGGGGGAAAGGGGGGGAUCGCAAGACCUCUCACUAUUGGAGCGGCCGAUAUCGGAUUAGCUAGUUGGUGAGGUAAAGGCUCACCAAGGCGACGAUCCGUAGCUGGUUUGAGAGGACGACCAGCCACACUGGGACUGAGACACGGCCCAGACUCCUACGGGAGGCAGCAGUGGGGAAUUUUGGACAAUGGGGGCAACCCUGAUCCAGCCAUUCCGCGUGUGCGAUGAAGGCCUUCGGGUUGUAAAGCACUUUUGGCAGGAAAGAAAUCGCACGGAUUAAUACUCUGUGUGGAUGACGGUACCUGCAGAAUAAGCACCGGCUAACUACGUGCCAGCCGCCGCAGUAA